AACGUUCGCUACGCUGCUUUCAAUACGGAAAAUUCCUCUGUGAGCACAAGCACGAUUGGAACUAUUACGUUGCUCGUGUAAGUAAUGGCGAUAAUGUUGAACCCAGAAUCAUUAAAAUCGGUUAAUUUUUGACUAAGUCGAGAAAAGACGAGAACUUCCUUUACAACAUUAUAAUUGGUGAUGAAACGUGGUGUUUUCAACAUGGACCUGAAACUAAGCGUCAAAGACCCCGAAUCGCGUUUGGAGAAUUCUGAAAUCAAGUCGAUGCUCUUUUGAUUUUACGAUUCUAAGCUUUAGUUGCAUCGUAUUCGUCGAAUUCGCCCUGAAUACCGUGAAGGAGGAAGCUGGCACUUAUUAUAUGAUAAUGCACCAUCUCAUCGAUCCACUAUUGUUACUGAUUUUUUGACUACUCACCUGAUGACUUCUAUCUAUUCGGAAAAUUGCAUUUGGCCAUGAAAGGAAAACGUUUUGCGUCCAAAGAGGCCAUCCAAAAGGCUUUUACCGACAUCCUGAAGGCAUUCCAGUCAAUGACCUGAGCAUUCUUUCGAAAAGCUUUUAGAUUACGCAAAACAGUGUAUCGAGGCCAGAUGGGACUACUUUGAAUAAAUAAACUCGA